AAGUUGUCUCCAUUCUAUGGUGUUUUAUCUCUUAACUUUUCAUCUUGGGGACUCUUGCAGUUAAUUAAUUAAGAUUGUUGCAACAAAUUAGGAGGAACUGGUGUUAUUGAAACAAGCGAUGCUUUUGAUGUUUUCACUUUGCAACAUUAUGCAGUUAGUUUUGGCCAUGAGAACGGGAGGCAAUUGGAAAUUAAUUUGAAAGCCACUGAAACAACAAAUUGUCUGCAGUGGUAUCCCUCCUAUAUUCGGUUUGCUCAUUAUACUGGUAGACUUUAGAACGCUAUUUUCUACAGUUAGUCAAGUUAAAAUUGACUGGCGCAUCUGUGGAAUUUUAAUAGUUAUCUACUGUCUACAUUAUAAAUUAAUGUUAUGUGCAUCUGUGAUUACUUCACAUUUAUAAUGUCAAAUUUGGUCUCUCAUGUAAACUUGACGCUUGUCGCCAUUUUAUAAUUCAGCGUAUUUACUUGGUUUUUGAUGCGUGUUUUUAGAUCGUUCAACAAAUAAGAGGGAGUUGAAAGUUCAAUUUGGUCGUACUAAAACAACCAUUGUCUACAUGGGUGUGGUCUUUGGUGAACUAUAUUCUUGAUUUGCUGUUUUCGUCUUCACUCUACAUUAUUAUGCA